rnacentral:lncRNA from 10 species
GAAGAAGAGGCUUAGCAGGAACGACUGGUUAUUCUGGGUCCACACUUCCCUUAAGAGUUGCGAUACUUACCGUGAACGGUCCCUAACUUCGUUCUUGAGCUAGUAACAUCACGAACUCUGCUAGAAAGAAGAAACUAAAUACAUCCGAACAUCAGAUGCAACAAACUCCAGACAACAGUCACCAGGGGAGUCCGUGGCUUCAUUCCUGAAGUUAGUGAGACCAAGAGCCUACCUGGUCCUACACACACUGUGGCUCCACUUUUUAAUAUAUAACUGUCUGGUGUAUAUAUGACUUGUCCUUAGGAGAACAAGGCAAUCUCGGUGGCUCAACGCCUGUAAUCCCAGUAUUUUGGGAGGCUGAAGGCGGGUGGAUCACCUGAGGUCAGGAGUCAGACCAGCCUGGCCAUCAUGGUAAAACCCUAUCUCUACUAAAAAUACAACAAAAAUCAGUCAGGUGUGGUGUGUGCCUGUAGUCCUAGCUACUUGGCAGGCUGAGGGAGGCUGGUGGCUUGAGCUCGGGAUGCGGAGGUUGCAGUGAGCUGAGAUUGCGUGACUACUCCAGCCUGGGCGACGGAGGAAGACACAUACACAGAAAGGAAAACAAAGGAUCAUUAGCAAUGCCAUGAUGGAGCCUGGAGGGGGUGGGUAGAAACCUGAAGGAAGGAAUACUUUCUGAGAGAGAAAGAGACUGCAUUGCACCCAGGCUGGAAUGCAGUGGUGUGAUCAUAGCUCACUGCAGCCUCAAACUCCUGCCGUCAGGUGAUCCUCUUGCUUCAGCCUAAGUAGCUGGGACUACAGGUAUUCCCCACCACGCUUCUCUAAUUUUCUUAUUUUUUGUAGAGGUGGCGUCUUGCUAUGCUGCCCAGUCUGAACUUGAACUCCUGGCCUCAAGUGAUCCCAUACCUUGGCCUCCCAAAGUGCUGGGAUUAGAGGGGUGAGGGACCUUACCCAGCCUUAAGUGUUUUCUUGAUGCUGCUCUGUAUUGUUUAAUUGUUUUGAUCAAUAUG